ACGGAGGAUGCAAGCGUUAUCCGGAUUUAUUGGGUUUAAAGGGUGCGUAGGCGGAAGAUUAAGUCAGUGAUGAAAUCCUGCAGCUCAACUGUAGAACUGUCAUUGAUACUGAUUUUCUUGAAUACAGUUGAGGUAGGCGGAAUAUGUAAUGUAGCGGUGAAAUGCUUAGAUAUUACAUAGAACACCGAUUGCGAAGGCAGCUUACUAAACUGUGAUUGACGCUGAGGCACGAAAGCGUGGGGAGCGAACAGG
rnacentral:rRNA from 1 species